AGACCUGGCGGCCAGCUGUUCCGGUAACCUGGUAUAUUGCUGCUCAAUCUACGAUCCUGAUCAACAACUGUGGUAGCAACCUGCUUCGUCGAUGCCCACCCUAUAGGUCGACCUGACUUCUUUAGCAGCGAGGUGAACAUCUCCUGCAGCAUGCUCAUGUCAAGACACAUGUCGCAGCGUCGAGCAACGUACGUGACACAGUGUUCAUGCCACUGGCAAGGCUGCAGCACACUCUGUUGUCCUCGCGCAGCCGGAUGCUCCAUUUUGGAUGUCGGUUGGCCAGGAUGUCCAGCAAGUUCCAGAGCAGCGUGCUCACCGGAAGUU
rnacentral:lncRNA from 1 species